rnacentral:snRNA from 1 species
AUGGUUGAUUUGGCAGCACAGAUGCUAAAACUGGGACAAUAGAGAGAUGAUUAGCAUGGCACCUGCACAAGGGUGACAUGUAAAUUCACGAAGUGUUCCACAUUUCU